rnacentral:lncRNA from 1 species
AGCCAGCGCUGCCCCAGCCCUCGCCUCCCAGGGGGCUGGUGCCGGGGGCUCCAAGGUCUCAUCCUGCUUAUGCUCUGCAGGUGCUGCUGGAAAAGGAGCCCAUGGACAGCUUGCGCACAGAAUUCCGGCAGAAGGCCAUGGAGACUGUCACCGUCCUCAGGUGCGUGCCCAGCCCCUGGUGGCAAUGUCCCGGUGGCCCUGAAGCUGGCAGGGAGGCUGCCCGUCCCUCCCAGGGAUGCCUGGCCAAGGGAGGUCCGUGUCCUCCUUCAUAAGCCUCGAGGCACUGCGUCCAACAGGCUUGUCUCUCUCUUUCCUUCAGCAACACCGUGCCGACAGCACUGCAUGGCAAAAAGGAGAGUCUCCUGAACGUGUGCUGCAAGAGCGUCUUCUUUCUGCCUCCCGAGUCGGACAUGCCAGAGACAGAAAGAGUGCUCUACACCAAGACUAUGAAAGCCAUGGACACCAUGCUGGAGGACUUCGUAUUCAACUAUCCCAUCGCCAGUUUCAACACAGAGAUGCAGAAUAUGUUGAAGGUUUGGCAUUUGCAAAGAAUUUCCAAAGAAUCCUCUCAGGUCACAUUUGCAGACCACUGUCAACCCAGCAACUUCUCUCCUCGCAGGUGAUGCUGGACUUUGCUGGCUCCAAAAACCCAGCUGUGCGUGAGAGAGCUGUGAAGGUGAUUGGGAGGCUGAUUACUUUCAUCCGCUGGUAUUUGGUGAUCAAGGUAAGGCACAAGGGAUUUUCCACCCUUUCCUGCAUCCCAGAGCAUCCUGCCAUGCAAGGGUGCCUGCGAGGCAAGCCUCAACGCACGUGAGGGCCUCAGCACCGCGAAGCGAGGGUCUUCGUCCCUCCUUUGCCCCUGCUCUUCCCUCCCCAGGCCGUGCUCUCUCAGGGGCUGGCUCUGCCUCCACUAAGCCCUUUGUCUCUCCUCCCUUCCUCAAACAGAUCUUAGGGAACUUUGAAAACUAUGGCAACGAUGAGCCCACGGAUUUCAACCUGUGCAUCCCCAUCCUG